GACGAGGUGGCAGAAAGUGGUUAAGGCGAUGGACUGCUAAUCCAUUGUGCUCUGCACGCGUGAGUUCGAAUCCCAUCCUCGUCG